UUUUCUCUCUCACUCACACAUUUGUAUUGCUGCAAACCAUAGCAGCAGAGUGAAACUCUUUGCCGCCACCGUCCACUCACUCCCUCUCCUCUGUUUUCUCAACUCGUUUUCAAUGUCUCAUCCCUCCACCACCGUCGAACUCAAAAUACCUACUAGCCAUCUCCUCCAUUUUCUUCGUAUUUUAUUUUUUACUGGGUUUGUUCGUUUUAAGAUUUCACAACUUUUAACAAUUUUCUCUUUGUUUUUCUACGAUGGUAUACACGAGAAGAAAGUUGUGAAGUUGUUCAUGGUUGAGGAACAAAGAGGCUACAUUUCAUUGUGAAGUUGAAGCCAUAGACAAAGAUCUAAAUGGUAAAUAAUAGUCUUCAGAUCCACACAUUUCUCUUCAGAUCUACAUGGUAAUGUUUGGUUCUGUUGUUAGUCAAGAAAACUUAAAGCUAGGAAGAAGUAAGUUUUAAUUGAAAGAAAACAAAACAUCUUCAUGCUUCUUAAGUUCUUGUACUGGUCUAUAAGCUCAUUUCAUUGAGUUUUACUACUUGGUGUUUAUGUUAAAUUAAAACUAUGUUGAUGUUGUGUUGUAACUAUGUUGGACUAAAGUCCUUUAAUUUGUGUAUUUUUGCUGAAAAUAUUGUAUCUACAUAUUUAUUGUUGU